UAUCUGUUCUUUUUUUGUUCUCAGAUUUUUUGCAAACUCUUUUUUUGUUUCUUAUCUUCCUCCUAAUCUCACUUCUUCUCUCAGAUCCAAUCUCAACACCCCAAAAAUCAAAAACUAAUCCUAACCCCAUCUCAAAAUCAAAACCCAUGUGUUCGAUCGAAAAGAACCCCUCUUUUGUAACCCUUGAUUUAACGAAAAAAAAUCCUCAUCUUAUCUUAGCUGGCUGGUUUUCUGUAUGAGAGAUUGAUAUCCUGCAUACCCAUACAACUCUUAUUCCCGAAUCAAGCCUGAUUUCAAAUUCUAAUCCUAACUGCAUCUUUGAAUCAAAACUCUUCUCAGAUUAGAAUUUUAUAUCCCCUAAUUUUGUAACCCUAAAUUUAGUUGAUUUUUCUCCUGAAAUCAAAGCAAACCCUCGUCUCAUAUUCAACAGAGCUGAGAGUACAAGAGGAAGAUUUCACCAGGGAAGGUGGUAAGCAUAGAGUUGAUGGCGUGGGUGAUUUUGUUGGUGGUAGGUGUUGGUGGUGUGGUUUGUUCUACAGAAUUUUGGAUUUAGUUGGUGGUGGUGCAUGUGUAAUUGGUCUAAAUAGAUUGGCUAUUUGGGGUGCAAGACUUGCGUAGGGUGGCAUUACUUUGAAAUUUUGAAUGGUCCACCUGCUAGUAACUAUGAAUUUGAAAGUUGUGUUUGUGACUACUACCUGAAAUUUUUGGAUAUGCCACUGUGGUCCGAGGAUAAUGUGGUCCAAAAACAGAUAACAUGCAUAUUGUAAUUUAUUAUGUGCAUUUAAGUGGGCUCAAAGUGGCAACACUAUCCCCUGAUUUUUGGAGUGUUAAUGUUUAAGUCAAUUUUUUUUGUUUUGUUUACCAUGUUAAGUUUUUAUUCAAUUCUUCUUACUUGUGGAUCACUUAGAUGUUGUGUAUUUUGGGUGUGUUUGUUUUUAGAUAUGUGCGGUUGCUCGAAUCAGGAAAGCAUUGGCUUAUGUAACCUACACAUUUUUCCAGAAGCAGUGCUUCAGUUGAGGCUUGCAGCAUUAGUACCAGAACAGAGGGGUGUUUGCUGGGAGUGUCAUUCGUCUUAAUCCAUCAUUAAGAAGCAUUGAAGCAACCAUUGAUGUGAUUUGUUAUCAUAAUUUAGUUAAUGUUCACAUAUUUGCAUGAAGUGUGGUUGAUGAGAGGUAAAACGCAUCGGCGCAGCAAAGGUGCAUCAGAGCAGGCAUAGUUCUUUGAACUUUGGUUAUUCGGUUAUUUGCAUCUUCUUAACGGCUUCGUUUUGUAAUUCUACCAAUGUUUUUGAUGGUUAGAUUUCGAAUCUUGUGUACAAUAAAUUGGAGAUAGAGCCAAGAGUCCAUGCAGUGAUUCAUAAAUUUGCGGAACGAGUCACUCGGAGUAGCAACUACUCUAUUUCCUACCCCUUACUUAUUUCUAACAUGUAUUGCUGGAUUAUUUCAUCAUUCAAGAAGCCCAAAAAGAAGGAAAGAGAGUUUGGGGUUCGAUGGCAGCUUAAUAUUCUCUUGCCACUGAUUGACCCAGCUAGACACGACAGUGUUGAGACAGUUAGGACUCUAGACCUAGGUGUGUGUGUCAAAUGAUCACAUGUAGGUUUCUGUUUUACGGCUUUACCUAAUCAUUUUUUGGUGCCAGCCUUUUCAUGAUUUGUUUUAACUUUGCAUGUACAAAGUGAGCAGAGUUACGGUUUUAUCGGUAUCUCUUUCGGUAUUAUUAGGUGAUGAACUGGGACCAACAUGUACCCUCAUCUGCAUUGCCAAGUCAGGGCAAGGAGAAUAUGUUGCAACUUUACGGGUUGAUGAACUGAUAGAGAAAGCAGAUGGUUUUGCUUAUUGUUGUUAUUAUGGCUAUUUAGUUUGGUUUAUGGUAUUGCUGUUGCAGGUUCGAGUGGUGCAGCUAGUAGUGCUUCUGACAUUGUACCAACUGAGCCUGGUCUUAGUUUAUUAUUACUGCCAGAUGUAGUCAUUUAUAUGUGAAAGGGAGAUAAUAUUGGAGAAGAAAUUGACAUCACAUCAAGUGGGUAGGUCUAUAUGUGUUCGGUUUUGGGAAAAUGUCAUUUCUCAAGGAGAUUCCUUCAAGGUUUCGGACUAUACACUGGCUCAGGGUACAUUAGGUAUAAUGCAAAGGAUGUGGGUAAAGAUAUGCUAGGGUGGGCAUUUUCAUAAGGGCUCAACCCUUAUUAUUGAGGUACACUAGCUGCUUACUGUAUAUUAUUAGUUAAUGUCAGACAGAAUAUCCCAUGGAUGCAUACAGGCUGUAUAUUUUCUACGAGUAAGGUCUGUGUUCUAAGCUUCCAUUUUAGAUUUGUCUCAGGCUUGAGACAUUCCGUGUCAUAGUGGUUCAUAUCUUUAAAUGAGACCAACUACUCUACCCCCAGUGAUGUGCUGGAACUAAAUAAUAUGGCUCCAUCUAAACAUUUUUUGAACUCACAGGCUGAGUUUAUGGAGCAUGAUGAGUAACCUCUUCCGGUAGAUAUUCGACUACUUGGUACACUUGCAGAAAAGGUGACUUUGAUCUUUUUGAUCGAUUAGGAAUUUGUAUUGGUGAUCAAACUAACAUAACUGGUAAUUUGGUAUAACUUCAUAUCGAGAUCUCUUCCUUUAUAUUGAUGCAUCUACUAUCGCUUAAUUUGUCUUCAAUGUAGCGCAUUCGCGAUGGCUCUACAUUUAUAAGGAAAUGGAGUUUGAAGGAGCAUGGAUGGUUUUAUAAAAACCAUUCAAGGGACACUUUCCAUCUAAUCAGGUUUUUUUAUCCUCGGGCUGCCGUCGGAAUACUGACUUAUGCUCAGCAAACUUGGUACAUUCAAGCCAUACUCCAUUUUGUUGAGAUUGUAUUUUUUUUGGACUUUAAGAGAUAGACCACUGUUGGUUUCAGCAGUCGCUACCAUGCAUUUUACUAUAAAGAGCAUCUCAGACAGUACCCAUGUCGUUUUGGAUGCUACAUUAGGCUUGCGUCUUCCUUUUCUGCAGUUUUUGCUGCAAUAAACAUUAACUAUUUCGAAAAGGGGAGCAACAAAAGAUGCUAGUAGUAUCAUCUGUCUCCUUAAUGGGCAAUUUUGAUAUUUUUUUUUAUACUUUCGAAAAGUUAUAUUCUUCUGUUGACCUUCUAUUACAAAGAUUUCGCUAAGGGCUAUCAUUUUGUAUAUAUCUCGUAGGGAUAAUGCGAUGCCUGGAUGCACUAGCUCGUGGGAGGAACUUAAUAACUUCCUCAAGAAAUUUUGGACCCCUGCAGAGCCUGCAACUCGACGGGAAAUGGCACCAAUGGUUUAUGCUUGAUGUUUCAUCUUUAAAUCAUACCAAUUAACUGUGUUGUGUAUGUCAUCUAUUAUUUCCAGAUUUGGAAACCUAGCUGAUAAGAAAUGUUUGUAAUGGUUAUAUGAUAUUGAUCA